GCUGGCUAGACUGCCUGGAACACAUGUGGAUUCAAUAUAGCAGGGAUGAGAUGCACUGAAGCUUAAGGAAGGUAAUGCAAUGCUGUAAUGUAAAGCUACUGAAACAUUGACAUUUAGUUUGAAAAGUUUGUGAAAUUACAGUAAAAUAAUUGGACAAUGACCUGCUUGUGAACUCAAUCAUAUUUUGGUGUCGCUUCUUUUUCUUUUUUUCCUCCUGUUGAGGUGAGUCCUGAACAAACAAACAAACACACUAGGAUUAGACCAGGUUGAGGUGAGUCCUGAACAAACAAACAAACACACUAGGAUUAGACCAGGUUGAGGUGAGUCCUGAACAAAC
ensembl:lncRNA